rnacentral:rRNA from 1 species
AUACUGACGUUGAGGCACGAAAGCGUGGGGAGCAAACAGGAUUAGAUACCCUGGUAGUCCACGCCCUAAACGAUGAGUACUAAGUGUUGGUGAGAAAUCAGUGCUGAAGUUAACGCAUUAAGUACUCCGCCUGAGUAGUACGUACGCAAGUAUGAAACUUAAAGGAAUUGACGGGAGCCCGCACAAGCGGUGGAGCAUGUUGUUUAAUUCGACGAUACGCGAAGAACCUUACCAGGUCUUGACAUCCGGUUGUUAGAUAUAGAGAUAUAUUGAGAUUGGCCGAGACAGGUGGUGCAUGGUUGUCGUCAGCUCGUGUCGUGAGAUGUUGGGUUAAGUCCCGCAACGAGCGCAACCCUUAUUGCUAGUUACCAUCAUUAAGUUGGGGACUCUAGCGAGACUGCCAGUGAUAAAUUGGAGGAAGGUGGGGAUGACGUCAAAUCAUCAUGCCCUUUAUGACCUGGGCUACAAACGUGCUACAAUGGCUGAAACAAAGAGAAGCGAAGCAGAGAUGUGGAGCGAACCUCAAAAAAGCAGUCUCAGUUCGGAUUGAAGUCUGCAACUCGACUUCAUGAAGUUGGAAUCGCUAGUAAUCGCGAAUCAGAAUGUCGCGGUGAAUACGUUCUCGGGCUUUGUACACACCGCCCGUCAAACCAUGAGAGUUUGUAAUACCCGAAGCCGGUGGCCUAACGCAAGAGGGAGCCGUCUAAGGUAGGACAGAUGAUUGGGGUUAAGUCGUAACAAGGUAUCCCUACGAGAACGUGGGGAUG